CCGAGAAUUUUUCACAAUGGGCGCAAGCCUGAUGGAGCGACUCCGCGUGGGGGAUGAAUGGCUUCGGCUCGUAAACCCCUGUCAUUUGCGAUCAACCGUUAUUAUUUAAAAGAUGAUAACCUGAUAGUAUCGAAAGAGGAAGGGACGGCUAACUCUGUGCCAGCAGCCGCGGUAAUACAGAGGUCCCAAUCGUUGUUAGGAUUUACUGGGCGUAAAGGGUGCGUAGGUGGCGGUGUAAGUCGGAUGUGAAAUCUCCGAGGUCAACUCGGAAACUGCAUUGGAAACUACAUUGCUCGAGGGUUGGAGGGGAGACUGGAAUACUUGGUGUAGCAGUGAAAUGCGUAGAUAUCAAGUGGAACACCAGUGGCGAAGGCGAGUCCCUGGACAACUCCUGACACUGAGGCACGAAAGCUAGGGGAACAAACAG
rnacentral:rRNA from 1 species